UUCACGAGCCGUGAGCGUGAAACCGACUAGAAAGCUAAAGAAACCCGAAGAUAGAAAAAGGAAUUUUCUGUGGAUUACGGCUUUUUUUCGUAAGUUUAGCAAAAACUUGCUCCCGAUAAACAUUUCACAUUUAAGCUUUGAAAAAUUCGAAACAUUGGAGAACUGAGAUGGUGCUUUCACCGGAGCUGGGAAUUGGAAAUGGAGGUGAAAUUUUCUAUCCAUCACCUUCGACAAACUUUGAAGACCAGGGAUUUCAGUCGUUUAGAUGGUGUUUUCGUCGGAGCAUGGGCGGGUAAGCGGUCCUCCAACAUCGUUUGUCAGCAAUUCUCCGGUUCAUCAUAGUUCUUGAAAAAUGGCAUUUCGGAGAUGAUUUCCCAUGUUUCCAGAAAACAAUAUCUAUGGCGCCAAGUAAGGCGCAAUAUUUCCUACAUUACGUCCUUGACGAGCGAUGUUGAAAGUAGUUUUAGGAGCUGCUACGCAAUUGUACAUGCUGCAUAAAAUUAUGAAAUAAACAAAGCAAAA